AGCCUUCUCACUCCUCACUGAGUCCACUCUGAACGUGCUAAAAUGGGAAGGAGGCGGUGUUUUGCUGAUCUGUUAAAUUCUUAGUGAAGUUUCCUUGAUUUCCAGUGGCUGCUGUUGUUUGAGUUUGGUUUGGAGCAAAACUGAGGUAGUCCUAACAUUUCUGGGACUGAAUCCAGGCAAGAGAAAGAAGAAAAAGAAGAAGAAAAAGAGGAGGAAAAAGCCUGGAAAACAUAUUAAUCCCAGUGCUUUUACGCCCGGAAACAAAGAGACUAAGCCAGACUAUGGGGGAAAGGGAGAUAAGAAGGAUCCUGGAACUUUAAAGAGGGAAAGAGUGAGAUUCAGAAAUCGCCAGGACUGGACUUUAAGGGACGUCCUGUGUCAGCACAAGGGACUGGCACACACAGACACACGAGACCGAGGAGAAACUGCAGACAAAUGGAGAUACAAAGACUUAGAAGGACAGCUCCUUUCACCUCAUCCUACUUGUCCAGAAGGUAAAAAGACACAGCCAGAAAGAAAAGGCAUCGGCUCAGCUCUCAGAUCAGGACAGGCUGUGGAUCUGUGGCGGUACUCUGAAAGCUGGAGCUGCAGCACACCCCUUUUGUAUUGCUCACCCUCGGUAAAGA
rnacentral:lncRNA from 1 species